rnacentral:tRNA from 1 species
GCCCCCUUAGCUCAAUUGGAUAGAGCGUUGGCCUUCUAAGCCAAAGGUUGAGAGUUCAAUCCUCUCAGGGGGUG